UGAGCUGUCAGCACAGAGCCCGAUGCGGACCUCGAACCCACGAACUGUGAGAUCGUGACCUGAGCUGAACUCAGACGCUUAACCCACUGAGCCACCCAGGCGCCCCUCUUGGUUUUCUUUUGAUGAGGGAAGAAGACACUUCUCAGGCACCUGAAGAAUAUUCCAGAGGAACAAAAACCAUUCUUGAUCCAUAAUAUGGGCUCAGUAAGCGUGAGUCACUACUUUGGUUACUGCUACUUGUCAAAGACAAGAAACUGGAUGGAUGACUUCCUAGGGUAAGUAAGAAGAGGUCUGUGCACCCAACCUGCUCUACACCUGUUUCUACCUUUGAAACUUUUCCUGCCAUUCAAGGCUCCCUUCCAGAAAAACUUGUCCUGGUUUUCCUGUCUCGCCCCACUGGUUCGUGCCAGGGGUCUUGGGAGGCCUCCUUUAUAGCGCCCAGCUCAUCCUACCCCGAAGCGCAGGCCCUAGUUUCCUAUUUUUUUUUUUUCUCUACAACUGGACUGAAAGCGCUCCCCUUUUUCGUGUCUGGCUCAGUGCCUGGCACACAGCGUGUUCCGUCGGACUAAACGGACACUGGGCUUCGCAAACUGCGGAGCCCUACGAACGUGACGACGCUUCCCCCCCCCCCCCCCCCCCAGGGUGUGGCGACUUUCUGCAGCUUCUCCUCUACUUUCCAGCUCCUGAUCCAACAGGGCGGAAGAGGGGUGUGGCUUCCAGUUUCGGGGGUCCACUGGAGAACGAGCACCCACUGGGCUCCUGUCCCCAAAGAGGCGGCCCUGGGGAGACGGGAAGCAAAGGGUGGUAUCUGGUCGUCCAGCCGAGGAGGCGGCCAGGCCGGUUCGCUGUAGCUCGUGUUCUUCUGACUCAUUCCGCAGUCCCAUGGGCUGAGUAACUUUUCCAGCCUUGUGAUUGUGGAAACGUGUUUCAGGAACAGCGAGCGGAUGUGAAGAGGACACGGGCGACCCCACCCCAGGCUCCAAGGUGGCUCCUGCUGGAGUCGGUACAGACGGCUUAUUUGUUUGCAGACUUCCAUCACCCCGUGUCACUGCCUUCCUCCACAGCUGGUAAACCCGAGGGCCCCAAGCAACCGGCGGCUCCCGGGUCUGUCCCCUGCGCGUCUGGCAGGUCCCGGCUGGGAGGAGCCUGGGGGCCAGAGUUUACGGCCGCUGGGACUCGGCUGCAUUUGCCCUCCCGCGAUGUGGGCUCGCUUUCCCGCAGCCGCCGCUCUCCGGUCCCGCACGACUACCGAGCCGCCCCCGCCCUGGCUGCGUCCCCGCCACGUGCCGCUCAGGAGCCGGAGGCCCCGCCCCCUGGCGACUCCGGCCUCCCGCCGGACCGGAGGACGACUCCGUGCGGGGGGGGGGGGGGUGCAAAGGAACACCGGACAGCGCCAGGCAUACAGCAAGCGCUCAAUAAAUGGCCGACUGGCAACUGCCCGUCGUCACUGAGCCCAAGACCCUUUACGUCGGCCCGUCAGUCGCCCACUGCCCCUCUCCGCCGCGACGCGGCAAAUAAAGCCAACGUUAAUGGUUAAGCAGCAGGUCAAUCGCUCUCCCCCCCAGCGCGGGGCGGACAAAGACCCGAGGCCACGCCCAGCGCGCCCACCGUGGGGCGGGGUAGUGGAUCUUGAGAAUCCCCCCACGCCCCCGUUGGCUAUUCCAGUGACGGACGGGGUCAUCAGCCAACCGCAGCCCGGGCACGACGCAUGCGUCCACAGAAGCUUUAGCCCCAGAUGGGGAAAAAAAGCCGCGGGCGCACCGCUGUGGUUGCGUCUGGCCAGGGCCUGGGGAAGCGGGUGCGCAUGCGUGAGCCCGACACCACCCUCUCCCUGCGAGACGCGAGCGUACGCAACGUGGCCGGCCGGGGUCUCCGGGGGCGCGCCCCGCAGGGAGGGACCUCGGCCCCACGCGUGCGCGCGGGCCGCGAUCUCGCGCGAGGCCGCCGGUGGACGACGCCCCGCUGGCCCCGCGCGCCCGGCCGCCGGCGGGGGCCCCCUCCUGGCAGCCGAGGGCCCCCCGAUCUCUGGGGACCACAACCCCUGACCGCGCACACCCAGGAGGCCGCGACCCCCACCCGCGCAGGCCAAGACCCUCAAUCCUGGAGGCCGAGACCCCGGCCCUUGAGAGGACUGCCCGCCCCGUGGGGCGUUGCUGCACUGGACAGACCAACAGAGAAGCCCCGGUGCACGACAGACAUUCGGAGCCGUGUUCAUAAACUGCAAAAUACGCACAGUGAAGCAGUAUAGUGUCUAGAGCAUUUCUGCACAUGUUCUGUCAGUUGAUUCUCACGCCAGCCCUUCAAGGUAUUGUCUCCAUGUGCAAGAUGAAGAAAGGAGACCAAAAAUUCAUGAGGCCGGUGGCACAAAGACAGGAAAGGUGAAUGUGCAGAAGGUCAGCGGGGAGCCCUGGGCAGUGAAAUCUCCAGGGUGCCGAGCACUGUGCCUGGAACAGAGAACGUGGUCGGCAAGUACUCGUUCAGCGGGUGAGUGACGGAACUUUCUGACCAUGUGGGUGUCCAGGAGUAACAGGAGCUGCCCCGAAGGCAGGUGCCCUGCUCAGCGGCUGGCUGACCAGGAGGACGAGAGAGGCCACUUUGGGCAAACUUCGGAGAGAAGCCCCCUCUGUGACUGUUUACGUGAGUCUGUAUAUCAGAGGCUGAAGACAAGACCAUGUUACGAUAAUAAGGUUCUCGCCUGCAGUGGGGCAGCAGUCCCCAGAGAAGGGCCGGGACAAAAGAGACGUUUUGAAGGGAAAGUUCAUAGGACUCGUUGCUGGAAUGGGUAUGAGGUGUGUUGUUGCUGUGUGUGUUGUGUGUUGUCUGUGGCUCCCGGAUGCUGUGCCGCUGACCUCACAAGAGCAUAGAGGAACGUGGAUUCGUGCCUAGCAGGUGGUUUGCGAUAGAGGAUGCGCUCAGGACAGGUAAGGGCUGACGACACGCCGACACGCCAGGGAAACAGCACCUCAGUUUGAGUUAGGAGACCCGAUUCCUAGGCCUGUCACCCGGGACACGACACUUGAUCUGAGUGUUUGGUACAGAACGUAUACGCGCAACAAGAACUGAAAAGAAGAAUGUGCCUGAGCCCCUUGUCCAGAUCUAGUUAAAUCGACUCCUGUAGUUAAAUAUGCAGAUACCCGCCCCUGGAACUGUGCUUGCCUCCGUCGUCCCAUGAUGGUACGUCCUUCAUUCUGGGACUGCCACAUUUGUGCUGGAAGUGCUGUCUUACCCGAGUUUCUGUCCCCCCCCCCCCCGCCGUGCCUGGCACAGAGCCGGAGCUCGGUAGAUGUGUGUUGCCCCGCACAGAAUUGUGUGAACUAGAAAGAACAUUCAUUUCCCCAAGACCUAGGUUUCCUUAUUUGUAAAUGAGACUAGUUGACCUUUAAAAUUCUUUUGAGUUCUGGACUUCUGUUAUCCAACCAUGUUCUAUUGAUUGAGAAGACUGAACUAGCUGAUUGUUGAAUUCUUUCCAGCUCCAGUGUUCCGUUGUGAUACUGAGUGGCAGGUAAUCUCACAGAAGCCGCGGUGGGGCGGGUCCUCAAAGGGAAAGCGUGGAGAAGGUUGAGGACAGAGAUGGCACCCAGUUGUCCCAAACCAGAGUGGCACAGAAUGACCAGGCUGGGAAGCAGGAGGAGUACGAAUGGCAGAAUGUCAAACGGAGACGCCCAGAGGAGCCAGGCGGAGGAUGUGAAUGUGGGACGUGGCCCCGCCGUGUGAGGGAGGCCAUGCCCACCCAAGGAAGUCCGCGGUCUCUUCCAGUUUUUGAGAUGAAGCUGGACUCCCAGCGUUUUAUUUGAAAUCCCGUGAUUUUUAAGUACUGACAACCAAUUCAGAUUAUUUUUAAAACUCCGUGCAGGUUAAAAAACAACAACAAACGAACAAAAAAGCCCUCCACGCCUCUUGGCCUGCUGGUCUCUACCCUCGCUGGCAUGGUGCCCUCAAUCCGCGCAUGCCCCAGGACGAUGUUGCUGGAAGUUUCCCGUUUCUGUUCACGCCGGUUCUCCGAUAGGCCAACCCUUCCCGAUACUCCCAGGACUUUGAUCAUUUAUCCCCUCCCUGCCUUCUGUUUUCAGCGUCCCCCUUUGUGCUUGUGUCUCCUUCAGUCUCGAAACAUGCCAGCGUCUUUCCACAUCCUGAAGACGCCGCUUCGUUCUCCUACGGUCCCUGCCAGGGCCUUUCUAGAAAGUUCUUUCUUUUUCCCUUCCACAGAUUUCCUAGCAGAAUCCACUGCAUUCUCCCUGUCUUCCUAUUGUAAGCCGGCUUUGCUGCUCAGCUCGCUGUAGUUUAAGGUCUGCCUCCGCGGUUCCACUGAAGGUUUUCUGACCAGGGCAGAGGUCUCUGCUGCUGAAUUCGUGAGACUGCUCCAACUAGGCUAAACUCACACUCAGAGACCCAAGUGGUGUCCUUUGCUUUAAUCUAUUACCUGAGAAAUGUCGCAUUGGUGUUUAUGGAACCACACGGGAAAGUGUCCUCGAGAAAGAAGGACAGUCGGCACCAUGGGAUUUGCAGACAGAUCAAAGUCUGUGUCGGCCACACGAAGCCCAAAGGGUUGUAAGAAAAGGAGAUUGCCACUAGCUUUUGAGAGGACAGUUCCGGCAGAGGCAGCUGGAAGGUACGCUGCUGUAGUCUGUGAAGAAAAGGGUGGUGACGUGAUGACAGACGGUGCCCAGAGGCGGCGCCUUGGACAAGUUUGGCACCGCGGGAAGCGACAUCAAGCAGGAGGUAUUGGAGACACGCGUGCCCGUCAGAGUCCCUGAGGUUGAGGAAAUCCUGGCAUGUCUGCAGGUAAAGCGGGCAAGCCAGUGGCACGGGAGAUACUGGAAAUGCUGGGGAAGGACUACCUGAGAGCCGGCCGCCAGGGGCGUCGGGAAGAAUCGAGAAGUCAGCCAGUUGAAAGGACUGGUCCGCCUUGACGAGGAAGCGAGGAGUCUCUGAAGUAGGCAGAACGGUUAAAGGCAUGAGUCGUCAUUCUAUCCGGACUCUCGUGGGGGCAGCGGUGACGCAGGAGAGACCCGGUGUGCGUUUCAUCCGUGACACGGGAGCGACGUCCCGUUUCCAGUCACAGGGAGGCAUAGCAGAUCCGGGAUUGUUGGCCGCCUUAGCGACAUCACUCUGCACUCGCUGUGUCCCUUCCGCUCCCUCUGCACUGAUUCCGGGGGGCUCUGGCCUUGGCUGCCCCCCUCUCCUCGUCAGGGAAGUGUCGUCCCCACACCUGAGGUUUAAGCAGCCACCUCAAUGCUAGUGACUCCCAAUCUGUGUCUGUGACAUAGAUUUCUCUCCUGUGACCUAGAUCUGUCUCCUGAGCCUCCCAUCUAUGUGCCCAGUAUCUUUAUGACUAGAACUGGUCAUUUCUCCUUAAUUCUUUAUUCUAAUAUUUUAUUUUAUUAAAAAAAUUUUUUUUGAUGUUUAUUUUUGAGACAGGAGUGACAGCACGAGCAGGGGAGGGGCAGAGAGAGAGAGGGAGACACAGAAUCGGAAGCAGGAUCCAGGUUCUGAGCUGUUAGUACAGAGCUUGAGGCGGGGCUCAAACUCACAAACCGCGAGAUCAUGAGCCGAGGUCGGACGCUCAACCGACUGAGCCGCCCAGGCGCCCCAGUUCCGUAUCCGAGCUGAUGGUCGCAGUCAUUUUGCAGUUGUCAAGCCAGAUCCAUGUUUCACCUCCCUCCCCCCUCCCCCCGCAAGUGUAUAUGUGUAUAGUAGAUACUUAAAAGAACAGGAACAUAUUUAUAUUCCGUGUGUUGGGUUUUCUCUUUCAUUUAGAACCGUCACGAUCACUUGCGCAUGUCAAUAAAUGCCUUUUUACAUUCUUA